GCGGGCGUGGCGGAAUGGCAGACGCUGCGGUCUUAAACAUCGCUGGAGUAAUCCGUGUGGGUUCGAAUCCCACCGCCCGCA
rnacentral:tRNA from 1 species